rnacentral:rRNA from 1 species
UACAGAGGUCUCAAGCGUUGUUCGGAUUCAUUGGGCGUAAAGGGUGCGUAGGCGGCGCGGUAAGUCGGGUGUGAAAUCUCGGAGCUUAACUCCGAAACUGCACUCGAUACUGCUUGCUUGAGGACUGGAGAGGAGAUUGGAAUUCACGGUGUAGCAGUGAAAUGCGUAGAUAUCGUGAGGAAGACCAGUGGCCGAAGGCGGAUCUCUGGACAGUUCCUGACGCUGAGGCGCGAAGGCCAGGGAGCAAACGGG